rnacentral:rRNA from 1 species
AGCCUCCACUAGCAUAUGCAAAACUUGAUGCAGUUGAACAGCUCGUAGUCUAAUAUGUUGCUAUUCACUCUCAACCUCGGGCAAACUCCCGCGUGUCCUUGUGUCACCGGGCAAAUGUUUCAACGAGUGGGGUGAAAGCAUCUGAUACACUUAGCUAACGGCGUUGAUUUAUUUCAUCGCUUGCUAAAGUGUAUCAAAUGAGUUACUUUGAAUAAAUCAGAGUGCUCAGAGCAUCCUUUGGGAAUGCAUAAUAAAGCAAACAAUGAUAGAGGAAGCCUGUUUCAGCCUAUGGCUGCUUCAAGCUUGAUGAAACGGAAAUGUUCAACAGGAACAUCCGGGGUUGAACCAACUGCUCGGGAAGGGGUGAAAUCCGUUGAUCCUUGCAAGUGGCCCUAAAGCG